rfam:Melampsora larici-populina 98AG31 unplaced genomic scaffold MELLAscaffold_7, whole genome shotgun sequence.
GCGCACUUAGCUCAGUGGUUAGAGCACCCUCCUAGAUAUAGGGAUCAGGUCGUCGGUUCAAGUCCUGCAGUGCACA